ACCGAAGGGAAGGAGGCGAGGUCCAGAGC
rnacentral:piRNA from 1 species